rnacentral:rRNA from 1 species
GUGAACCUGCGGAGGGAUCAUUACAGAGUUCAUGCCCUUACGGGUAGAUCUCCCACCCUGUGUUAUUAUCACCUUUGUUGCUUUGGCGGGCCGCCCGGCCUCGGCCAGGCUACCGGCUCCGGCUGGUAAGCGCCCGCCAGAGGACCCAAAACCCUGAAUGUUAGUGUCGUCUGAGUACUAUAUAAUAGUUAAAACUUUCAACAACGGAUCUCUUGGUUCUGGCAUCGAUGAAGAACGCAGCGAAAUGCGAUAAGUAAUGUGAAUUGCAGAAUUCAGUGAAUCAUCGAAUCUUUGAACGCACAUUGCGCCCCUUGGUAUUCCGAGGGGCAUGCCUGUUCGAGCGUCAUUACAACCCUCAAGCAAUGCUUGGUAUUGGGCCCCGCCGCUCACCCGGCGGGCUCUAAAAUCAGUGGCGGUGCCGUCGGGCUCUGAGCGUAGUAAUUCUUCUCGCUAUAGGGUCCCGGUGGAUGCUGGCCAACAACCCCCAAUUUUCUAUGGUGACCUCGGAUCAGUAGA